GCACUUCUGAAGAGUCUCAUAAUAGGACGAAACGGCCGUCCAGUGC
rfam:Schistosoma mansoni, Puerto Rico, WGS project CABG01000000 data, contig: 0037